CUCAGAUUGAACGCUGGCGGCAGGCCUAACACAUGCAAGUCGAGCGGUAGCACAGAGAGCUUGCUCUCGGGGUGACGAGCGGCGGACGGGUGAGUAAUGUCUGGGAAACUGCCUGAUGGAGGGGGAUAACUACUGGAAACGGUAGCUAAUACCGCAUAACGUCGCAAGACCAAAGUGGGGGACCUUCGGGCCUCAUGCCAUCAGAUGUGCCCAGAUGGGAUUAGCUAGUAGGUGGGGUAACGGCUCACCUAGGCGACGAUCCCUAGCUGGUCUGAGAGGAUGACCAGCCACACUGGAACUGAGACACGGUCCAGACUCCUACGGGAGGCAGCAGUGGGGAAUAUUGCACAAUGGGCGCAAGCCUGAUGCAGCCAUGCCGCGUGUAUGAAGAAGGCCUUCGGGUUGUAAAGUACUUUCAGCGGGGAGGAAGGCGAUAAGGUUAAUAACCUUGUCGAUUGACGUUACCCGCAGAAGAAGCACCGGCUAACUCCGUGCCAGCAGCCGCGGUAAUACGGAGGGUGCAAGCGUUAAUCGGAAUUACUGGGCGUAAAGCGCACGCAGGCGGUCUGUCAAGUCGGAUGUGAAAUCCCCGGGCUCAACCUGGGAACUGCAUUCGAAACUGGCAGGCUAGAGUCUUGUAGAGGGGGGUAGAAUUCCAUGUGUAGCGGUGAAAUGCGUAGAGAUCUGGAGGAAUACCGGUGGCGAAGGCGGCCCCCUGGACAAAGACUGACGCUCAGGUGCGAAAGCGUGGG
rnacentral:rRNA from 1 species